CGAUUUACUCCCAUGAUCAAUAAUUUGAAAUGUUGGAAUGGCCGAUUAAAAAGCCAGAAUAUUAUCAAACGUAAUUUCAUCACUUUCGAAACGUUGUCGUACAGUGUACAAUAUCCAUUGAUUGUUGUCAUCCGGGUGUUUUUCAUUAUCAAGAUCAUUUGUUUAGGGGUUCACAACAGGGAACCCAGGAUUUCGACAUCACGAUGUGAAUUUUUUACUCCGUGAUACAAAUUUGUUUAUCCAAGUUAAAACGUAAGUUCAAUCCGAGAUAUAUUCGGUGUGUCGUUUCGUUUAAUUGACACGUUUAUAAUGUUUUAAUAAAUAAUACAGCUCACUACUGUACGAUUGUAGGUUCACAGUUUGACACCUGACUAAUUGAUUAUCACGAAAAGCCAUAUUGUAUAAACAAAUAUGUUUUGAUUGCAUAUCGAUCAUUGAAAUAAAUUAGACAAACCGGUUUUGACAGGUAAUAAUUAAUGUAAUUAAGAGUAUUGGGACUUCAUAGACCGGAAUUCGGAAUACACAGGGUCCGGUUUACAAAGGGUAUUUUAACAAAGACUUUGAAUGGAAAAAUAUGGGACUUUCAUUUUCGGCCGGAAUGGACAGGAAACCGGUUUAUUCAGGGUCCGGUUUAAUCAGGUUUGACUGUAUACAAAACACAAUAAU
rnacentral:lncRNA from 1 species